ACUCUAUUAUCUUCUAUGUCGAAGUGCAAAGGAAAUUUCGGUUACGAUUUGUAUUGCAUUUUUGAUUUUUUGCAGGUGUUGAAAAUGAAGUGUUAAAGUUUGACAGGAACCGAAUUGUUUUAUCUUGAAUAACUUCUUUGUUUAGAAACAUUGACAAUUAAAUUUAAAAUAGAAGGCAUUAAGUUGUGAGGUUGUGAAGUAAUGUGAGAGAAGCUUCAAGGAGGAAUACAUAUUACUGUUUUAGUAGUUUUUAUCAUUAUGGAUGAUUUAAAGAAUCUCAUCGACUGGUCUAGUCCAGAAAACAAAUCCAACGAAACUAACAGAAAUCUGCCGCUAAUUCCUUGCCCCAGUACUGCGCCUCUCAUAAGUAAUCCAUUCGACUCUAUCUGUGAACAGUUGCAAGUGAAAACACCUGAUGAUCCGUUCGAGGCUGUGCUAACUACAGCCAUGUGCUACAAGAAGACAGACAACCACAAGAAUCAAAGAAAAACCUCGAAUAGGAAGAGCGACGAAAGAGAACGUUGUGAAGAGAAAGAAAAUGUUCCAACGCCUGUUGAAUAUACAAAAGUUUCUGUAACUAAUUAUUUGAACAAUCUAGUUGUCACCGAGACGCCCAGCCCUGCACUUCCUGAUGAGAAGGAUGCCGAUGAAAAUAAAGAAAACUGCGAUCCUUUUCCUGAGAAAACACUCGACAAAAUUGAAGAUAUCAGCAUUUUAAAAGGGAUUGACCGAUCGCCUCUCUCCGAAAUUAGUGUAGAUAAGCUGUACCAUCAAGAUGAAACGUGUCCCUAUUUUCUAGUCGAGGAAGAUGAAUUGCCUUGUGAUGAAGUUGAUGAUAUGCUCACAGGCUCACCUCUCAGAUCAAAGAUGGAAGUAGCAGCUAAUGAAGCGGGAAUGAAAGGCAAAAAAUGUCAAUCCGUGCCGCAGUUGUUUGUGGAGAACGACAAACGGCAGACGACUGCUGCCAACAAUACGUUCUGCGGCGGCGAUUUCGAUGAACUGGAAGGCUUCAAGCCUCUCGGCGAGGCCUUAGUCAGCAGCUCUUUCAGUGUUCAGUCUCCUGCGAGAAAUGGCGGCGAGGAAAUGCUCAGUGUUACAUGUGAUCAGAUGAACUCUAAGGUCAACUUUAGGACGGCGUCGGCUCCCUCUCUGUCUACUCCGAAGAUAGAGAAUUUCGCGUCAGGCCAUCGCAACAGUAUUUUCUCAUCGGACUUGUCUCCAGUGCUGAAUAAUGGGGUGCCGGGGUCAUCCUCUUCCAGCACCUACAGCUUCAUGAACCGGGGUAUGCUAUUGUCAAAGACUAACGGUUCAGACUCCAGUUUCAUAUCAAGAAAGGUGGAACGCAACAUAAUUGUGAAUAAUAAUUGUGCAGACGAAGAUAAUGACGAUGUAUUCGUUGAAGCAAAAAUAUUGUCACAAAGCUUCAGUCAGUCAGUGCAUGUUGUUGAUGAUAAGGUGGAUGAGGUGGCCGAUUUGUUUGCCGUUGAAAUGAAUCUAGUCCACGCCAAUAGCAGCGACGAGGAGAAUGACUCACUGAGGAACGACCCGAGCUUGAAUUUCAACUUCACCAGUCCGGCUACAAGACAGAAAAGCUUUGUCGAGUUUUCCGAAGCUGUCAAAAAGUACAAAAAGAGACGAUCAACAGAUCCUUUGUUUUCUUCCACUGACGCACUCGACGAAUCUCAGGAUGAAAGCAGUCAGAAGAAGAGUGCGUCGUUUUCCAGUUCUGAAACUCCUAAAACAUCGAAGAAUCGUAAUCGUUCAUCUCCUACUUCCAUAACAGCUGGAUUGAAUCUCCUAAAGAAACAGAUUGACUCACUGCCCAUCGGAAAUAAUAUUCUACAAGUCCAAAAGCCGAAGAAAGAUGAAGGUGGCGUCUGCACUCAAAAGGCUGCUCCGUUGAAAGCUACCGUGCCACUUCAGUUCAUGAUUCGCUCUGGCAUUAAUAAAGACAUUGGGCAAAUUGAUAAGAAAACCGUGGCUAUAAAACCAAUCACUCAGAGUAAAGUUCGUGCCGCUACAAGGAUGAAAGCGCAAAAGAAUGUAACCACUCCCAGGCCGGUAGCAUCAUCCACUCCCAACAAAAACAAAUCAGUGAAUGCCUCGCAUGGACAGAGUCUAAUCAUGGAGGACAACCACAAAAAUCGCUCUCUUGAUUCGUCUGACGGCUUUGACCAGAAGAAGACAUCAAGAUCAAGUUCGCUAUCCAGCAUUCCAUCCUCCGAGAAGAGCUUGAAAGCCAUUAAUGGAAAAGAAAAUUCUACGCCUACAAGGAAUGGCCUGUCCGUCAGAAAUUCCAUGCCAAUUAUGAAACAGGCUAAUAAAAAAUUGAGCGCCUUGUCGAGAAACUCGCCACAACUGGGAGCUCGCAGCACUCUUCUGUCACCUUCAUCAACAUCAUCAGUGCGAAAGUAUGGAAAAAGAUCAAUCUGAUGAGCAUUUUGGCGCAUUAUUCAGCUGUACCUGAAGCUUUAAUUAGGGAUAGAAGCUUACAGUCUAGUCUAUUGGUAAGAGCUACCACCAAAAAUCAACUGGGGGCAAUUGAGGUAUCUCAGAGAUAAGGAGAACUUGGUGCCAAUUCAAUAGAAACAUCUUUAAUAGAACUUUUUCUUUAUUGUGAGUGUAUUUUUAUGUCGUGUGUAUUUUGUAUUUUUAUACCAAUUUAAUAAUUCAAUGUGAAUAUUUUUAAUAAUUUUUAUGAAAUAGAAUUACGGUUUUAGCUUCAUUGUCUGUUAUAUUUGUUGUUUUAAAAUAUUACAUCAAUUAGUUUAAUGGCUCUCUGCCCAUAUUUUGUGUUCAAAUGUAAUAAAAAACUUGACUUUUUAGGGUUUGAUUCCAUUUUAAAAAUGCAUUCUAUUUUGAAUUUGUAAUACUUCAAUCGAACACGAUGUUGAGUGUUCAUAAGUCAUCCAAUAUUGGACUGUUGCAUAUAGGCCGAAUCAAUUAUAAUAAUAAACGAUAAACUUUCUCGUGUUAAUUUUCGAUUAUAGUUUUAUUCGAUAACUAAUUAAUAUGCUUUAAUUAUAUAUUCUAAUGGAAUUUUUCUAAUAAAUUAUCAAUCUCAUUUGUAUUUUUAUAUAGUUUUGGAAAUAAUCAAUAAUUUUCAAAUGUCUCGCUUGAUUGUUCAAAGUAUUUCUACAGUAUUCAUGUAGAGGACUUUCAAAUUAUUGCUUGUAAUACUUAUUGGUUAAGCUACAACUUUCAAUAAUUAAAUGGGAAAAGAUAAUAUUAUUUUGAAAAAAUGACUCGUAGACUAAUAAAUUAUAAUUAAAUCAGAAAUUCAUCAUGCAUAUUUAGUCAAAGGAAAUGAAUUCCGAGAUUCUAAAAUAUAGAGACUACAGUAUUCCCUUUGAAUAUUAUAAUGCACUUUAUAUAUGCAUGUUAUAUAAAAUGUCUAAUAUUAUGCAUGUUCACGUGGUAUCUCCUCUUUCACAAGAGUGUUGAUGUUCAAGAUUUAAUAACUCCCCUACAAGUAAAGACUGGAAUUAGUGAGUUGAACUUUGUAUUUAAAUUAGUUUCAAAUUUGAAAUUUUAUUAAUAAAAUACCUAUUUCUUAUAAAAUAACCGCACUUUGUCAGUUAUAUUAUUGUUGAAAACGAAUUUUCGAUAAUAAAUUCAAGUGUAUCUUGAACAAAA